GGCAGGGUGUGUAGGGGGAAGUGGACAGUAUCUACCUUGACUGUCACCUCUGACAUGUAUGGAACUCAUCUCUGCAUACAAGCAGAACCCUGAGAAAAGGAAGGACGAACAGGAUGAAGAAGGCUACUCCAUAGCAGGCUCAUCACAAGAGCAGGAGGAAGAGGCAGAGGUUAUACAUGAGCCAGUAGCAACCUAAUGCCAGUCCCGACAGGAGCUGUGAGAUACGCAGAAAAAAUGUCAGCCAUCGUCCAGGUGAACCCAUUGUCACCUGGCUGCUCACAUGCUGGGAUGAUGGGGCCAACAGCCUGGAUUGAGUGGGCAUGGAAGUCAGGCAGCUGGGUUGCCUCUCUAGGGAGGAGGUACUGUCCAAGCGGUUGCAAAACCGGGAAAAUCUCUCCCACUCUGGAUGUGACUCCUGCCAGCUGAGAAGGAAAGGUGUCCCUACAGGUAGGAUGCUACACGUCAGCCAGGCAAGAGAAACAGCAUGGAAAGAGGUAUCCCCUGUCUCCAGCAGUGCUGGAGGCAGUGCAUAAGAUUAGCCUGAACAACCACCACAAAAUCCAGAUAGCAUCAACUGCACGCAAUCCGUGUGGCAAAAAGUGGCACGGAAUGCACCAUCACCAAAUGCCAGCUCACCGGUAGCAAUGACCUGGAAGGAUGGAGAAGAACAAAUGGUGGAUGGACUGGCUGGCCGACUUCAGCAAGAUGAAGAAAGUCUCUCCUCCUCCCCAUCAACCGGCAUUUCAGCCGAGGAGAAGCUUUCCCAAGGGGUCCAGCAAUUCAAUGGGAAUAUACCCUUGUCUCCACCUGCAUGGACAAGACUCUCUCCUACAUAUAUACGGUGGGUACACACACACCACAUGCCACCCUGAGGUCCUGCUUGCGUGACAGUGGGGACACAGUGAAGCAGUGGGAUAGAAAUAUGAAUAAAAGAAGCAGUACUAGAAGGGCCCUGCCUCGAGUCAGGUGGAGGAAAGCGAAAAUCAGACUAAUUGGAUUACAUUGAUUAGAUGGUCUAGCAUGUCAGAAGCACAGGAGCGUAAUGCGAUAGAGGACACUGGUGCACAGGAUACUCCGAUGCCACCAAGACAGAAAGGGGCAGAACCCACCUGAAUUACUGGAGUGAAGGAGGGAUCCCCGCAGCUAGCUGGAAAAGUCAUAAAAGCCUCCAAAAUUUGAGAAAAUAAUUAAGAAAUAGUUGCAAAGCAUCAGCAAGAAAAAGUACAGCCUCAGAGUAUAUAUAAAAAUAAUUUAUUAAUUUUUUCUUAACAUGGCAGAAUUACGGAUAGUAAUAUAGAGAUUAUGGGUGGAUUGUGACAGGAGAAGGGGGAAUGGUUUCAAACUGAGACAGGGGAGGUUUAUGUUAGAUAUUAGGAGGAAGUUUUUCACCCAGAGGGUGGUGACACACUGGAACAGGCUGCCCCAGGGAGGUUGUGGAUGCCCCAUCCCUGGAGGCCUUCAAGACCAGGCUGGAUGUGGCUCUGGGCAGCCUGCUCUAGUGGUGGGCGACCCUGCACGUAGCAGGGGGGUUGAAUCUAGAUGAUCUUUGUGGUCAUUUUUGACCCAGGCCACUCUGUGGGUCUAUGAUUCUAUGAAAAUACUAUUCGGUUACGCUCUCAAUCAUGUCAGAGAGUUCUUGAAGGAGUUCAUCCACAUCCUUCUCAGGCUCUGAAUCCACUGCUUGUUCCAGAUCUCCGCCUGAGAGCUCCAGCAUGAGCUUCUCCAAGUCAUCCUCUGCAGAGAAGGGCGCUUUCCCGGCCGCGGUGGAGCACGGCUGCUGUGUCUUUGCCGCCGUUUGUGGAGAGGCUGAAGCGGAGCUCGAGUCCUCUGACUGUGCCACAGGCUCUGCCCAGCAUCCCAGAGGCGUGUCAGAGAGCUCCCGAAGGAGUUCAUCCACAUCCGCCCCUGGCUCCAAAUCCACCACGCCUUCCCGAUCUCCUCCUGAGAGCUCCAGCAUGAGCUUCUCCAAGUCAUCCUCUGCAGAGAAGGGCUCUUUCCCGGCCGCGCUGGAGCACAGCUGCUGUGUCCUUGCUGUAACUUCAGGAGAGGCUGAAGCGGAGCUCGAGCCUUCUGACUGUGACACUGACUCUGCCCAGCAUCCCAGAUGCAGGCCAGGACUUGGGAGAACAAGGAAGAGAAAAAUCAGUACCUGACAUUUCUGGACUGGAGAAGCAUUUCCUUCAGACCAGCUCUAAAAUCUGUGGUUAACCUUCCCUACAACUCCUACCAAUAUGGGGGUUGUCAUUCCUUAAACCUGGGGCUACCGUUAAGGUCCAGUCCAAAAGCAGGCACGAUUUUCAGUGCGGGAAUUGAUCUGUGAAGACAGAGCAGUUGGGGCCUAGCAAGCAUGGUCCAAUUUUUGUAGCCAGAGGCACUUUGCCACCUUCAUUAGUUUGAC
ensembl:lncRNA